rnacentral:rRNA from 1 species
GUGGGGAAUUUUGGACAAUGGGCGCAAGCCUGAUCCAGCCAUUCCGCGUGCAGGAUGAAGGCCUUCGGGUUGUAAACUGCUUUUGUACGGAACGAAAAGCCUCUGGUUAAUACCCGGGGGUCAUGACGGUACCGUAAGAAUAAGCACCGGCUAACUACGUGCCAGCAGCCGCGGUAAUACGUAGGGUGCGAGCGUUAAUCGGAAUUACUGGGCGUAAAGCGUGCGCAGGCGGUGAUGUAAGACAGUUGUGAAAUCCCCGGGCUCAACCUGGGAACUGCAUCUGUGACUGCAUUGCUGGAGUGCGACAGAGGGGGAUGGAAUUCCGCGUGUAGCAGUGAAAUGCGUAGAUAUGCGGAGGAACACCGAUGGCGAAGGCAAUCCCCUGGGCCUGCACUGACGCUCAUGCACGAAAGCGUGGGGAGCAAACAGGAUUAGAAACCCUUGUAGUCC